AGACACUUAUGAGAUAUAUUGUUCAAUGAGAAAAAGAACAGAACAGCCUGUGAAACAUGACCCAGUUUUUCUUUACAAUGCACAUAGAAACUCAACAAACCAUCCAUGGAUUCCUAGGUGCCACAAUAAACAUUCUGUAUAUUGCUCUUUUAAUAUAGGGGAGAACUAAACUAAACCAAGAAACACCAGGAUGAGAGGCCAAACACUUCAGAAGACAGAGAUACUGACAAAGACUCUUCUCUGUGACCAAACUCGGGGGGAGGCUCCUCUGAGUCCUCUUUCUCACUAGGCCCCACCUGGGGCUCUGUCUUUGGCCUGCUUAGUCCAGUUUGAGCAAGAAUCUUGCCAAGUCAGUAGUGAAAACUCCCUGCUCUUGGUCUGUUCAAAUUCCUUAUCCCCCACCCUCCACGUUUUAUCACCCUGGCCUGCCUUCAGCAAAAAUCCAUUAGGUCAGUUUCAAAAAGAAGUACCCUACCUCU